CUGUCAGAAAUCUGCCUAGGGAAAUGAGGUCAGCUAUCUACUCAGAAACCAUCCUUGAACACAAGGUAGCCUAGAUUUGUUUCUCUAAAUUGCAGAAGGUUUGGCCUUGCUCAAAGUGAAAGUGGAAGAAAUUCUUUCUGCACUUUUAUCAAGUCACAGGAUGAAAAUGGCCACAAAACUCCAUAUCACCUUCUCUGGAGGAUGGCUUGAGACAUGACUUGUCUGCUAUGGAGAAUGGCAGUGCCUAUAGCAUGUGGGGAAAACCAACCUGAAACACACCUCAGCUCUGAUCCAUACCCUGCAAGCCAACAAAAGGCACACUGGCUCCCUGCAAGGCUGUGUUAUACAGAGAUGGCACUAACCUGAUGAUCCUGCUUCAACUGUUAUGAAAACAUGCUCUGAAAGCUGCAGCCUGCAGGCAAGUUAUGGCAUUGAAGAUUUUCUCUUUGUCUUUCUGAUUAUUUUAAUUGCCCCUCCCUCAGGAACCAAGAAAAUACUUGACACAAAAUCACAGUCACACUAAGCUCCCGAAGAAUUUUGCCAUUGACUGUAGUGCGGCUGUAUUUCAUUCUGAGUCACGAUUUUUGUUGCCUUCUCUCCUUCUAUGUGGCAAAGCUGUUAAUGAGCUCUACAUUUUGAAUAAAUCCUGAUUUCUCAUGUCAUAAAUGAGAAUAUAAAGUAUAGUUUGAACUGAAUCUCCUCCUAUUGCUGCGUAAUUUUGAAUUGUUCUUCCAGUGUUAUUUGGCAUCCUAAUUGAAAACUUAUGCAUCAGGAAAGCAGCUGAUUUUGAUUUUUAAGGUGUCAUUUCACUCAAUACCUGUUGCCCUGAGAAUCAGGCCUUUCAAUAUUGUUUUCAUAAUUUCUAGCCAU